ACCUCCAAGAAUACGCGGAGGAGGUGGCCCGGGUCGGCGUCGGCGCCGUCCGGCGUGGGCCACGUGCCCGCUUCCAAGUGCGUCUGCGCGCCGGCCACCCACGCCGGGUCCUUCAAGUGUCGCUUCCACCGCACCAACUCCCAAGGCCACAGCCACGGCCAGGGCCAGGGAAGCCGCCCUUCUUCGCCCCCUUCACCGGCCGCGGCACCCGGCCUCGCCGUCCUCGUCCUCCGGCACCGUCGCGACCCAGUGACGCAGCCCAAGCAUCGGCCUCAAGAAUCAAGAAUGCUCGACAACGGAGAGGGAAGGGAAGAUCAUAUACAUGUCAUAAGAAAGGGAGUUUAUUUACUGCUCCCUCGAUGUAUUGUUUCCUUUGUUUGGAGAUUGAUUACCAUCCUUGAGUUAAGGUAA
rnacentral:rRNA from 1 species